ACUUAUAUAUCUAAAUUUAAGGGCUGUGUUCUUACCGCAGUAAUGUGUUUAUAGCACUAUAAGUU
rnacentral:tRNA from 1 species